CAGUCGCCACGGGAAUACGUAGGGUGCGAGCGUUAAUCGGAAUUACUGGGCGUAAAGCGUGCGCAGGCGGUUGUGUAAGACAGGUGUGAAAUCCCCGGGCUUAACCUGGGAACUGCGCUUGUGACUGCACAGCUAGAGUAUGGCAGAGGGGGGUGGAAUUCCACGUGUAGCAGUGAAAUGCGUAGAGAUGUGGAGGAACACCGAUGGCGAAGGCAGUCCCCUGGGCCAAUACUGACGCUCAUGCACGAAAGCGUGGGGAGCAAACAGGAUUAGAUACCCCUGUAGUCCCUGUCUCUUAUAC
rnacentral:rRNA from 1 species